CAAAACAUGGGUCUCUUUUUUACACAUCUCCUUACUUCAAUCUCCCUCCCCUGCACGCGAGCAAGCAAUUUCUCAGGAAAACCUCUGGUUAAUUUCUCUAUCCUCCCCAAUCUUCGAUAAUCUUCGACAAGAAAAAAAUAUAUGGAGCUUCAGCAAAAAAAACCCUAAAAACGGCAGACUAUUGUGCACAUGUUGGUGCAGAUUUGCGAUUGAAAGAAGCAAUUUAUCGAGAAAUUGAAGUACCAAUAGAAACUCUAUAUCGGUCACCUUCUUUCCACGCUCUUAAUCCAAGGAAUUCCUUGCCAUUCUCAAAUUUAUUUCAAAUAUCACUGCUGUCUCACAGCCGCAUUUAGUUGGUAUAAAGGAAUCUACACAGCCAAGCCCAGACAGGAAUACACUGGAGGCUGGUACAGUUGGCAAUAUAGCUCAAGCAAGGCCUUCUGUUACGGAGGAAAGUGCUGUACAGUGGGCUAAAAAUGAUAAGAGAAGAUUACUUCAUGCUGUUUAUAGCGUUAGAGAUUUAGAUAAGACUAUAAAAUUCUAUACGGAGUGCCUUGGCAUGAAGGUAUUGCGGAAAAGAGACAUCCCAGAGGAGAGAUUUUCAAAUGCCUUUCUUGGUUUUGGACCCGAAGAGUCACAUUUUACGGUUGAACUUUCAUACAGUCAGCUCUCUGGCUUUAAAUCCAUCUUUUUUCAAUGAACAUAUAGACCUAUCAUUUUGUUGACUUCCCUUUGCUACCAUAUACUUGCUCAUUUUUGUUCUGUGCAUAGUGAAUCUUAAAUAACAAGGUGUUGCAAUUAAAACAAUGGUUACAGACUAUGGAGUUGACAAAUAUGAUAUUGGAACUGGUUUUGGUCACUUAAUAGCAGAAGGUAUUACUAAAAUUUUCAUAUCCUUAGUGAUGUAGCCAAACUUAUUACUUCAAACUAUAUUGCUUUAAAUACAUACUAUUUCCUUUGUGGUUGUUAAUCCAUUCCUCCACCCCCACAAAGGACACUAACUCACUUUCGAUGGUAAAAUAAGCAUCUGAUUUCUUUUAUUGUAUAGUUACAAUACAUUUUUCAUACUUGAACUUACCUGUGAAGAAUUUAAGUUGGUGUCUGAAUCUGGAGAUCCUCUUGUGUGUUUUACUUCCACUUUAAGUAACUCAGUCAUAAAUGGGUAAAAGUCCAAGUAUCAGACUCGACUAUGUUAUGAAAAAGUCCAUUGUUUUUGUUUGAAAUGAAGUAUCAAGAAUCCAUGCCAUAUAUAGUGUUAAGGAUCCAACACACCAGUACUUUAGGUGGAAAUGAAGAAUUCGAGUAACUUAGCCUUCACAUUAAUGCUAAAAGAAACAGAGUAUUUGAUUUUUAUCCAAACAUUUGUGACUGCAAUUUAUGAUUAUUUGUAGCCGAUCUGUUUGUCCUGGAUUGUGUGGUUAUUUACAGUUUUCCAAUGUCUUGGUUCUAAUUUUUUUUCCUCUGAUUAACACAGUCCCACAAACAUAGUAUACCCAUCUUAUUGCAUUUCAUGCUCACUUCUACAUGGAGCCAGAGACCUCAGAUAGUGGUUCGAUGACAAUUGGGGCUGCUGGUGGUCGUGGAGGUAUCGCUUCAGUAGGCGGGAGAAGUACAAGAUCUCCUACUUCUAAUUAAAUUGUGCGACCUCUUCCUGGCCUGAAAGAGAAAGUUAAGAAUGUCAUGUUUUAAGAACGUUAAGAACGUUACUAUUGGGCCUCGGAGCCUCAGAGUUUGGCUACUGAAUGUUUUAUGAAGAAACUUAUUCAUCAGAAAACGAGGAUGAGGUUAGAGACAUGUGGGUCGAGUAUUUGCUCAAGCAUGAAGCAGAUGAAGAAAACCAAGUUGAUGGUAUGAAAAUAACUCCACGAGUUUUGGUUCCAAUUGUUGGUAAAAUUGGCAUGAAUGAUUAUAUUUUGGAAUUGAUUUUUGUUUUACGUUUUUGGAAAUUGCGAUGUAAAUCUUUGACGUUUAUGCAAAUUACAAUUUAUGUAAAGCUUGCGUUUUGAGCAUUACUUGUGGGAAAUAUUUUUUUGGUAAUAUAUGGAUUAUGGAAUUGUUCUCGAAUUAU